AGCGCAGGCGGUUUGAUAAGUUUGAAGUAAAAGGCUGUGGCUUAACCAUAGUAUGCUUUGGAAACUGUCAAACUUGAGUGCAGAAGGGGAGAGUGGAAUUCCAUGUGUAGCGGUGAAAUGCGUAGAUAUAUGGAGGAACACCGGUGGCGAAAGCGGCUCUCUGGUCUGUAACUGACGCUGAGGCUCGAAAGCGUGGGGAGCAAACA
rnacentral:rRNA from 1 species